UACAGGCUUAACACAUGCAAGUCGAGGGGCUUUUUGGUCUUAGCUUGCUAAGGCCGAUGGCGACCGGCGCACGGGUGAGUAACGCGUAUCCAACCUGCCUUACAUCUCUUGGACAGCCUUCUGAAAGGGAGAUUAAUACAAGAUGUUAUCAUGAGUAAGCAUUUUCGCAUGAUUAAAAGUUUACCGGUGUAAGAUGGGGAUGCGUUCCAUUAGAUAGUAGGCGGGGUAACGGCCCACCUAGUCUUCGAUGGAUAGGGGUUCUGAGAGGAAGGUCCCCCACAUUGGAACUGAGACACGGUCCAAACUCCUACGGGAGGCAGCAGUGAGGAAUAUUGGUCAAUGGACGAGAGUCUGAACCAGCCAAGUAGCGUGAAGGAUGAAGGUUCUAUGGAUUGUAAACUUCUUUUAUACGGGAAUAAACGGAUCCACGUGUGGAUUUUUGCAUGUACCGUAUGAAUAAGGAUCGGCUAACUCCGUGCCAGCAGCCGCGGUAAUACGGAGGAUCCGAGCGUUAUCCGGAUUUAUUGGGUUUAAAGGGAGCGUAGAUGGGUUGUUAAGUCAGUUGUGAAAGUUUGCGGCUCAACCGUAAAAUUGCAAUUGAUACUGGCAGUCUUGAGUACAGUUGAGGUAAGCGGAAUUCGUGGUGUAGCGGUGAAAUGCUUAGAUAUCACGAAGAACUCCGAUUGCGAAGGCAGCUUACUAACCUGUAACUGACAUUGAUGCUCGAAAGUGUGGGUAUCAAACAGGAUUAGAUACCCUGGUAGUCCACACGGUAAACGAUGAAUACUCGCUGUAGGCGAUAUACAGUCUGCGGCCAAGCGAAAGCAUUAAGUAUUCCACCUGGGGAGUACGCCGGCAACGGUGAAACUCAAAGGAAUUGACGGGGGCCCGCACAAGCGGAGGAACAUGUGGUUUAAUUCGAUGAUACGCGAGGAACCUUACCCGGGCUUAAAUUGCAACCGAAUAUGGCGGAAACGCUAUAGCUAGCAAUAGCGGUUGUGAAGGUGCUGCAUGGUUGUCGUCAGCUCGUGCCGUGAGGUGUCGGCUUAAGUGCCAUAACGAGCGCAACCCUUGCCGAUAGUUACUAACAGGUUAUGCUGAGGACUCUGUCGGGACUGCCAUCGUAAGAUGUGAGGAAGGUGGGGAUGACGUCAAAUCAGCACGGCCCUUACGUCCGGGGCUACACACGUGUUACAAUGGGGGGUACAGAGGGCUGCUACCACGCAAGUGGAUGCCAAUCCCAAAAACCUCUCUCAGUUCGGAUUGAAGUCUGCAACCCGACUUCAUGAAGCUGGAUUCGCUAGUAAUCGCGCAUCAGCCACGGCGCGGUGAAUACGUUCCCGGGCCUUG
rnacentral:rRNA from 1 species